AUAGCCUCAAAUGCUUCCCGGAAAUCUCCUUACUAUCACCUCAACAUUCAUCUGACAGGGUCCCAAAGAUACCAGCGCCAAGACAAAACUUUAAUUUUCUUCAUAAUCUUCUGAACAAGAGAAGAAUAUCCAAUUAUAUAUGCAUAUUAAUUUGCAAUGGUGUCUUUAUGCUUUGCUUAAGUUAUGCAUAGAUAACCCACCUCCAAACCUGAAAAUAGACUAUCAAUAACAAAUUUUGAAGUAAAUUAAAUUAAUACGAGUUUGAAGAAAUAAGACAAUCCUUUUUUUUUUUUGUUUCCUGUAGAUCUAAGGAUAUAAAAAAAUCAUCUUCAGUUUAGAGAGUGUCAAACUCGAAACUAUUAACACUAGCAAAUAGAAAUUCAACAAUACAAUCAAAUCAAAAUCAUCAGAAGAAAAUAUUCACACAACAUACAUGAAUUAACACAUUCAAAUAAGUAAAUCAUCCAAUAGGAACUUACUUUCAUUGAUACGAAACCAAGCUUUCGACAUAACCCUUGACACUCGACCACCAAGUCCUAUUAGUAAUUUUAGUUCUCUCUACUCUAUUAUCUCUCCAAUUAUAGAGAAUUGCUUGCCU
rnacentral:lncRNA from 1 species